GCGGGAUCCGGACGAGGAGAGAAGAGGGGAGAGGGCGACGGAAACAGCGUGGAGCACCGCGUGGCAACGGGAGAGGAACGAGGAAGGAAAAGAGGAGGAGGCGAAUGUAUGACGACGGGAAGGAUAUUGCGACUCGUCGGUCACGACCACGUGGGGAAUACUCCAGCCCAAUUUCCGACUUGAUAUCGCAAGCCAAGAGUCGAGUCAUCCCUGGACAACGGUAAUUAGUACGGAACAAGAAAUUCGAACGUUCCUCAGUACUGGUUAAGGUGUUGAGGAUGUUCCAAUGAUACGAUACUUUAGUGUCCAACUGAAUGUUCCCUAACGGAGAAAGAUGGAAACGAGGGAACAUCGACGAAACCGGGACGAACGAAGAAUCACCGAGGACUCGGUGCUCCACGUCGGCUGGAGGACGCGCCUCUGGGAAGAACGAGCGUGCUUCUGGGCGACUGGAUAUGACGAACUUGACGGGAGCGGACUCCUUGGAUCUCUCCGUUCGGCUCGGGACGAGGAGGAAUCAACGACGACCGCGACGGGGCGGACGCGUCCGGGAGGAAGCGGAGGGCCAGGAGGAGCCGGUGAAUAAUCGACGAGCCAACGGGAAGAAAAAUUGAGCGACCAAGAAGCGGGAUCAAACGCGUCGAGUGUAAAAACAGCGUUCGGUAAGGAGCGAAGCCGUCGACCAACCCCACUGUGAAUGGAACACGUGUACGGUGUCGCGUCUAUCGACAAAGUUCAUCGUUGUAGAAAGGAAAAAAACGAAAAGGAAGAGGAAGAGAAAGAGAGAGAGGGAGAGAUCGGUUGAAAGAGUUUCCCAGAAUGUGAACCGUGACAGGGCCAUGGUGGCGAGUGCGUAAUCGAAGGAAUCGUAGAACACUUUUCUCAUGCAAAUGCGCCCGAUGCGGGCCUCGGAGAAGGGACAACGAACUUCUCCGUUGGCCCGACUGAAACUUCGAACUUAGGUCCUUUUAAAUUUAAAUGAUUCCCCCGCGCGCCGCGCGCACACGCUCGCGAUGGCACGAUAAUAAAACGGGCCAAAGGACGCGGACUAGGCGACGAAUAAUUUUAGAACAAUUCCUUCCUGGCGACGGAACGAUGGCAAAUCAUUCUACGUUUGGAACGUUCGAUCCCGGAAACCGACUGCGAAUAGAUAUACAGGGUGUUUCUGAAGUAGGACCUGGAAGCUUUAUUCUAGACGAGCGAAAGGAGAAAAUAGAGCGAUGUUUUAUAUUAUACUUCGUGUUCUAGAUAGAUAUUUCAAUUGAAACAUCUACGUCGUUCAGUAUAAAGUAAUAGAAAUUAUACAAGUGAAAGUAAUUAACUUUCGAAUAUUCCAAAAUUCUGAGGUAUGAAUUAGUCUCCCGAGAUUUAACUGAAUUCCAAUGGUGCUUCUAAGUUACCAGUACACGUAGUCGAUCCCCAAUCGCGCCGCCAUUUCAGGAACACUCUGUAUAUAGAGAAACGUUUCCGCGUCGUACGCGUCGUUACGCCCGCGGAAAUUUUACAGCGAUCGUAAAAGAGCGACCGAGCGUGCUCCCGCCUCGGUGAUUAUUAAAACGAAUAAAAUUUUCAGGCUGUACGUAAUAAUAAGCGGCCGCGAGCGCGAGCGCGCGCGGCAGCGGGCCGGCGGCGCGGCGAUAAUUACGAGAGCGUCGGGGAUCGCGGCGCGGUAAUGUUAAAUAUAUCAAAAAUUAUCGUUCCGGCGUGCGCGCCGCGCGGCCGCGGACGAUCCGAUGACCAGAAAAAUAUUUGCCUAUAACGUGUGGCCCGGCGGUGUCGCAGCUGGAUACGCGGUCGCAUUUGAAAUUCGGAUUAUUAUAAUCGCGGCUCGCGUUCGCCGAUUAAAAGCGAGGAACACCGCACACGCUCGCGCGCGGGCGCGGAGACGUUUUCGAUGAUAUAAUUAUUAUAAAAGAGUUACACGCUGCGACGCGCCUACGGGGCGAGCCCACUAAAUCGGGGAUUCCAUGCGCAUUCGAUUAAAGAACUGGAUUGUAACGCGUUCACCGUUGUACGGCCCUUUUUUACUUGGAGAAUAAAGAGCAGAGAGAAACCAGGCGGAAGAAGGAAGUCAAAUAUUCUUCGAUCCAAUCAUACGCUUGAUCCCUUGCGUUAGUGUCGUGAUAGAAAUUGUCGAAUGAUAGCAAGUGUAUUAUAUUCAUUUGAAAUUAAAUGUUACUUUCCUUAUCAACCGUUCAAUUUUACGUAGAAUUUUAAUAGAAUGUAGAAUUUUUCCCUGUUGCUAGUAAGUUGUGUUUAAUGAAAUGAGAGAAGUAUGAAUGGAGAGUAAUUGUGACGAUGAAUUAACCCUCUGUGGGCCUAUGUAACACUAGAUUUACGGAACCCGUCAAUUCGACGGAUACUGAAUUUUUCAAGCAUUAUUUAGUAACAGCUUCCGUCGAUUUCGCUUCAUUAUGCGAAUACGUAUUGCAAUUCUCUAGUUUUCAAACUACAAUUUUCGCAAUUUACAUAGACGAGUACGUAAUUUUCUAGGAACAAUGGAAUAAAGUGCAGAACAAACAUCCGUGAAUCUAGUGUUAAGAGGGUCGUGGAAGAAAUUAUAGGGUAAAGGGUUGAUGCCUAUAUUUUCAGAUUGAGUUUACCGAGAGAGCUCGAUGUUAAUCCGUGACACUGAUAUUAAAGAGGGAUUCUUUUUAAUGGCGGCGAGCCGGCCGCGCGACUGUAACCGUGAUUUCCCGAGAAAGAAAGAGCGGGCGGAGCAGGAAGGAAGAGUUUCCUCCCGUAUCCAUCCGCGGUGACGCGCGAAUCAGUCCGUGCACAGAGAACGAGAGCGACAAGGUAGAAGGGACGAGUUAUUAAAAUGUAAAUAUGAAUCGACAAUCUGUAACGCGGCGCGCCGCGUUAAGCACGUGUGCCGCUGCCGUGUAGAUAAACGUGUCGCGAAUAUUCGCGAGCGAUGGCUCUCGCAAAUGGGCUCGACGAGAA